rnacentral:tRNA from 1 species
GCGCCAGUAGUCUAGCGGUAGGAUACUGGCCUUCCAAGCCAGUGACCCGGGUUCAAAUCCCGGCUGGCGCA